CGGACGGGUGAGUAACGCGUGGAUAACCUGCCUCACACUGGGGGAUAACGGUUAGAAAUGACUGCUAAUACCGCAUAAGCGCACAGUACCGCAUGGUACGGUGUGAAAAACUCCGGUGGUGUGAGAUGGAUCCGCGUCUGAUUAGCCAGUUGGCGGGGUAACGGCCCACCAAAGCGACGAUCAGUAGCCGACCUGAGAGGGUGACCGGCCACAUUGGGACUGAGACACGGCCCAA
rnacentral:rRNA from 1 species